CAUGGCCAUUAACUUGCUCAGAUACUCUGGAAUCAGUCAUCGUAUUUAUGUGGAGUGUACUCUAUAAAUCAUUUGUUUUUACCAAUAUGUUCAUCAUCAAAUUUAUGGUAGAUGAAUAGACUAUAGUGUGUGCACAAUUGCACAUGGAGUCUCUGUGUAUUUAUGUGGAGUCUCUGUGUAUACACAUUUCAUAUGUGGUAUCCAUUAUGCUUUACCUCGCUUAACUCAAAUUAUCAAAUUUGCUACGAACACAGAAACUGGUCAAAGAAUUUACAUGAUUUGUUAAUGAGAUCCACUUUUGAAAAACUAUAUUCGGCCAUAUAUAUUUUGUGUCCAAUUUUGUGAUCAGUUAUUUCAAAAUUAUUAGGGGACGUGGAUGUAAUGGAUACAAUUGCUUUUUGUAACUACAGUGGGGCUUGUUUGACAAGCAAUUUGGGAGGUCAGAUGCUCAAGAGCCAGGUCCAGAAGGGAGGGUUCCCCUGUGGGUGAAAGCAAAGUGUUCAGGAAAUGAAAGAUAAGUUCUCGGCCAUAGGCUUUGGUCCCCGCCAGGUAUUUCAAUUAUCAUGACAUCAACUGGCAGAAACUUAUCAUCACAUCACUCCAGCUCAUGGAAUUGUUAAUUUAUCCAGUUAUCGAUCUAUGAAGAAAUACACUCAUUUAAAUUCUCAUCCUCUUCUUUUACACUCUUUAUUUAUGUGUUUUUCCUUUCCAUUUAUUUGGUAAGUAAGCAUUUCGUUGAUGCUAAAUCUGGAUUUUCCUAUAACACUUGAAUAUUAUCAUUGGAGUCACUUAGCUCUAUUGUUACAUGAUAUAUCUAAGGCUUUCAUAUGUGUUGUCUUUAUGUAGUCAAUAAGUGUUGAACAGGAAAAAUGGGUUUAGGCGGCAAUAUGGUUUACUAGGUAUAAAAGUGGGGUUCUUGGAUCAAAGCCGAUCAACAUGGUUGAAACCAGAUGAUAUUCUGUAUUUAUUAUGUUUUUCUGCUUUGUUACCGUUCAUGUUUGAUUCAAAUUCAUGAUCACGUAAUUCAUUCUCAUAUUCAAUGAUAAGCUUGGGACAGGUGGAUGUGCCUGUUUAUGCAGCAGGAACUGGUGUUAAACCUGCAGAAAUAGCUAGGCAAGGUCUAGAAGAGGCCAAAAGGAAGAAUAUGGAUGUGGUCAUAGUGGACACAGCUGGAAGACUUCAGGUUUGGUAGAGGGAACUAGAAGCUCAUCUUAAAUUCAGAU